GCAGCGGUAGCUCAACGGCAGAGCGCCGACCGUCCAGGUCGAAGGCGCGUGGUUCGACUCCCGCCCGCUGCUCCA
rnacentral:tRNA from 1 species